GCACCGAUGGUGUAUGGUACACACGCUGACGAAAUAAUCUUCGAAGGUUAGUACAACGACGAGCUGGGGUUCGAUUCCCCGUCGGUGCA